AGACGAUGGUCCAAACGAUUGCGU
rnacentral:siRNA from 1 species